rnacentral:rRNA from 1 species
AGGCGGCCGGUUAAGUCAGGUGUGAAAGCCCGGGGCUCAACCUCGGAAGUGCACUUGAAACUGCAGCGCUAGAAUCUUGGAGAGGCGAGUGGAAUUCCGAGUGUAGAGGUGAAAUUCGUAGAUAUUCGGAAGAACACCAGUGGCGAAGGCGACUCGCUGGACAAGUAUUGACGCUGAGGUGCGAAAGCGUGGGGAGCAAACA